rnacentral:lncRNA from 10 species
GCUCUAUUGCUGGGAAGUGCUUGGCUGAUUAUCUUCUUCCUGCCCUGGGAGAUGUCUCACUAAUCAUUCAUUCAUUCAGCAAACAUUACAACGUUCCAGGCACUGUGCUAACUACUGAAUAUUCAGUGAUAUAGGAUAAAAUCUCUGUCCUAAAGUUGCUUGCAGUCAGAUGGGAGAAAAGCAAGUAAAUACAACAAUUUGUGAGCUUUAAAAAAGACCUAUAACAUCUUGUGAAGGAGGGGCAGAACUUAUCAUCCUCAACUA